rnacentral:rRNA from 1 species
UAACGCGAAGAACCUUACCAAGGCUUGACAUAUAGAGGAAAAGUGCAGAGAUGCACUCCCCGCAAGGUCUCUAUACAGGUGGUGCAUGGUUGUCGUCAGCUCGUGUCGUGAGAUGUUGGGUUAAGUCCCGCAACGAGCGCAACCCUCGUCCUAUGUUGCCAGCACGUUAAGGUGGGAACUCAUGGGAUACUGCCGGGGUCAACUCGGAGGAAGGUGGGGAUGACGUCAAAUCAUCAUGCCCCUUAUGUCUUGGGCUUCACGCAUGCUACAAUGGCCGGUACAGAGGGCUGCAAUACCGUAAGGUGGAGCGAAUCCCAAAAAGCCGGUCUCAGUUCGGAUUGGGGUCUGCAACUCGACCCCAUGAAGUCGGAGUCGCUAGUAAUCGCAGAUCAGCAACGCUGCGGUGAAUACGUUCCCGGGUCUUGUACACACCG